rnacentral:lncRNA from 1 species
AAUAAUCUUUCACUUUAUGAAAGUAAUAUUUGACAUGAGAUUGUAUAUAGCACAUACAGAUGAUUAUGAUCCAUUCCCUGAAGUGAAUGUGAUAUUGUAAUAAAGCCCGUAAGUAUGGACACGCUCUUGAUGUAAUUUUAUUUUGUGUCUGACAUUAUGAAAAGAAAGUUCGUUGCCCUUGAAAUUUUGGGCAAGAACUAUAUGACAU